AGCGGCCCGGCCCACAUUGUUCACGUGUCCCUCGGUUUCCACAUGCUCUCAGCGAGCUUGUCGCCUCUCCGUCUCCGCUUUCACGUUGCAGUCGCUCCGUCAAACAUGUCUUCUCCUCUCUCCUUCUGUCAAACCAUGCUUGUUUUCUAGGGUUUCGCUCCUUGAAUCCGUCGGACCGAGUCGAAUCCAAUGUUUGCCUCCGCCAAUUCGGUGCUGCCGCCGCCGUUUCUCCCCUCGGCCUGCAGUUCCCUCAGUUCUUCCCACGCCUUGAAGCGAUUCCUUCGGGUUAAGGCCGCUUCGGUGGGCUCGGGCUCCGAUGCGAACCAAUCGCCGUUGACGUCGUCUGCGAAGGGGAAGAACCCGCUGGCGGCCGUCCUGGAGCUGCCGAGGUCGCUGUGGUGGCAGACGAUGCAGCCGCUUGGCGACUUCGGGUUCGGGCGGACGAGCGUGUGGGAGGGCGCGGUCGGGCUGUUCAUGGUCUCCGGAGCGGUGCUGUUUGCCCUCGCCAUCGCCUGGCUGCGGGGAGUCCAGCUGCGGUCGCGGUUCAGGAAGUACCAGGUGGUGUUCCAGUUCUCCCAGGCGUGCGGUAUCUGUGUCGGCACCCCCGUCCGGAUCCGCGGGGUGAAUGUGGGCAGUGUCGUGCGGGUCGAUUCCACUGUGAGGAGCAUCGACGCGGUCGCUGAGGUUGAAGAUGACAAAAUUAUUUUACCUCGAAAUUCUUUGGUUGAAGUGAAUCAGUCUGGCCUUCUUAUGGAAACUUUGAUUGAUAUUACACCACGAGAUCCACUUCCUGAAUCUUCUGUUGGUCCUCUUGAUGCUGAUUGUGUCAAAGAAGGUCUAAUUGUUUGCGACAAAGAGAAGAUAAGAGGACAGCAAGGGGUAAGCUUGGAUGCAUUGGUUGGAGUGUUUACCCGUCUUGGACAAGAAAUGGAUGAAAUUGGUAUUUCCCGAAGCUAUAGAUUGGCUGAAAAGGUGGCAUCUGUUGUAGAAGAAGCACAACCUCUCCUUGCAAAGAUUGAGGCCUUGGCUGAAGGUGUCCAACCUUUGUUAGCUGAGGUACGUGAUAGUACUCUGUUGAAGGAUGUGGAAAAUUUAACCAAGAGUUUAGCUGAGGCAACUGUGGAUUUAAGGACGGUUCGGUCUGCCAUCCUUACUCCUGAGAAUGCUGAACUAACUAGGCAAUCUAUUUUCACCCUCAUAUUUACUCUGAAGAACAUUGAGAGUAUUACCUCAGACAUCUCGGGCUUCACAGGCGAUGUGGCUGCAAGGAGAAAUUUGAAGAUGCUAAUUAAGUCCCUUAGCAGACUUUUAUGAUUGUGUUGGAGCCAGGCUUUUGCCAGCUUAUCUCUGGAACUUUUAACCACAGGGAGUUCAACAAGUGCUGUGCCAAAGCUGCGUAAGAGCUGCUGGAACUGAUAGAUCUUAAACUUGACACACAAAGAGAUCGAAUACUUCAAAGAUGGAACCUGCUUCAUCAAUCUUUGCCCUUAGUGUUGGCCUGUCACCAAGAUUCCAGAACCAUUUAUCAUCAUCCGAUUCCCGGCAGAAAUGGUAAGCAACAUAGUUUCUUUUGAUGUGUAUUUGUAAAUGAGUAUGUUUUCAGGUGUCCAUUAUGGUUCUUAGCUACCGAGAUCAUAAAAACGUAGUUGUUGGACUUUGAGCUCUCCUUAGUUCAAAUGUCAUGAACUCCAUUAGAACAAGCAAAUAUAAUUCUUAAGAUGGUGAUA